GACGAACGCUGGCGGCGUGCUUAACACAUGCAAGUCGAACGGAAAGGCCCUGCUUUUGUGGGGUGCUCGAGUGGCGAACGGGUGAGUAACACGUGAGUAACCUGCCCUUGACUUUGGGAUAACUUCAGGAAACUGGGGCUAAUACCGGAUAGGAGCGCCUGCUGCAUGGUGGGGGUUGGAAAGUUUCGGCGGUUGGGGAUGGACUCGCGGCUUAUCAGCUUGUGUGUGGGGUAGUGGCUUACCAAGGCUUUGACGGGUAGCCGGCCUGAGAGGGUGACCGGCCACAUUGGGACUGAGAUACGGCCCAGACUCCUACGGGCGGCAGCAGUGGGGAAUAUUGCACAAUGGGCGGAAGCCUGAUGCAGCAACGCCGCGUGCGGGAUGACGGCCUUCGGGUUGUAAACCGCUUUCGCCUGUGACGAAGCGUGAGUGACGGUAAUGGGUAAAGAAGCACCGGCUAACUACGUG
rnacentral:rRNA from 1 species